rnacentral:rRNA from 1 species
GCUGGCGGCGUGCUUAACACAUGCAAGUCGAACGGUKAACACGGAGCUUGCUCUGUGGGAUCAGUGGCGAACGGGUGAGUAACACGUGAGCAACCUGCCCCUGACUCUGGGAUAAGCGCUGGAAACGGCGUCUAAUACUGGAUAUGUGACGUGACCGCAUGGUCUGCGUUUGGAAAGAUUUUUCGGUUGGGGAUGGGCUCGCGGCCUAUCAGCUUGUUGGUGAGGUAAUGGCUCACCAAGGCGUCGACGGGUAGCCGGCCUGAGAGGGUGACCGGCCACACUGGGACUGAGACACGGCCCAGACUCCUACGGGAGGCAGCAGUGGGGAAUAUUGCACAAUGGGCGAAAGCCUGAUGCAGCAACGCCGCGUGAGGGAUGACGGCCUUCGGGUUGUAAACCUCUUUUAGCAGGGAAGAAGCGAAAGUGACGGUACCUGCAGAAAAAGCGCCGGCUAACUACGUGCCAGCAGCCGCGGUAAUACGUAGGGCGCAAGCGUUAUCCGGAAUUAUUGGGCGUAAAGAGCUCGUAGGCGGUUUGUCGCGUCUGCUGUGAAAUCCCGAGGCUCAACCUCGGGCCUGCAGUGGGUACGGGCAGACUAGAGUGCGGUAGGGGAGAUUGGAAUUCCUGGUGUAGCGGUGGAAUGCGCAGAUAUCAGGAGGAACACCGAUGGCGAAGGCAGAUCUCUGGGCCGUAACUGACGCUGAGGAGCGAAAGGGUGGGGAGCAAACAGGCUUAGAUACCCUGGUAGUCCACCCCGUAAACGUUGGGAACUAGUUGUGGGGUCCAUUCCACGGAUUCCGUGACGCAGCUAACGCAUUAAGUUCCCCGCCUGGGGAGUACGGCCGCAAGGCUAAAACUCAAAGGAAUUGACGGGGACCCGCACAAGCGGCGGAGCAUGCGGAUUAAUUCGAUGCAACGCGAAGAACCUUACCAAGGCUUGACAUAUACGAGAACGGGCCAGAAAUGGUCAACUCUUUGGACACUCGUAAACAGGUGGUGCAUGGUUGUCGUCAGCUCGUGUCGUGAGAUGUUGGGUUAAGUCCCGCAACGAGCGCAACCCUCGUUCUAUGUUGCCAGCACGUAAUGGUGGGAACUCAUGGGAUACUGCCGGGGUCAACUCGGAGGAAGGUGGGGAUGACGUCAAAUCAUCAUGCCCCUUAUGUCUUGGGCUUCACGCAUGCUACAAUGGCCGGUACAAAGGGCUGCAAUACCGUGAGGUGGAGCGAAUCCCWAWAAGCCGGUCCCAGUUCGGAUUGAGGUCUGCAACUCGACCUCAUGAAGUCGGAGUCGCAUAGUAAUCGCAGAUCAGYAACGCUGCGGUGAAUACGUU